ACAUUUUUAGUAUAUUUAGUACGUAAAGCUUCCAACUUUCAAGUUUCAAGAAAAAAUGUA
rnacentral:tRNA from 1 species